GAACAUCCCACAGCCGAUCCCUCUGCACUGAGCCCUGCAGCGUGUCCUCCAUCCUCCAAACAGCACGGAAGUGGCUGAAGACUUUCCCUUCCAGCACUCCCUGCAUGGAGCAGGGCUUGGCUGGCCCUCCGUAGGAUUUCCUCAUUCCUUCUGCAGCCAUUGGGGCCAUUUACUCUUCCUGAAGAGCACCACAACGUUCCCAACCCUUAUGGGAGAGAGGAGCUCAGGAAGCACCACUGCUUCCAUCACAUCUGCCACAGACCUGUGGGUUGGGGUGUGCAGAGGGGAAUGGAAGGACAGCAGCAAGCAUGCAUUUCCUGCUCAGCCCCUCAGAACCCAGACUUUCAUCGACCACCAUCUCCCUCCCCUCCAGCCAAGUGAAAUCCUCUGGAUCUCAGCCGGGCUUCAGAUGGAGGAGCUGAGAGAACAGCAUCAACUCAGCCCAGAGCUCCAUAAAGGUCAGCUCCUUGAAAUAUGUGGAACACGCAGAGCCUAAGGCCAGGAGUGGUGCAGAGCUGGAAUCCCAGGGGCACGCCACAACCUCACUGAGGCUACAGAGACCUGGUUAUAAGGUUUCCUGAUUACCUUUAACAUAGUUUAUUUUUCAAAAUAAAAGGUGAUAGAGAGACUUGGCAACUAUUUCAUAACCCCUUUUUCACCCACACACUGAUGCUUCAGGUAGAAUGAGGUCCAGGUACAGAUAAGCCUUCUAAGAGAAGACUAAGCAGCUAUGAAAGCUGUUAGCCAAGAAAUGAGCUUUGCAGCAUCAGUGCUCCAUGGGUGCACAUGUGCCCUGCUGCUUAAAUCCAAGGAAUAAGAUGGCAAAAAGGGA
rnacentral:lncRNA from 1 species